UACGUAGGGGCCUAGCGUUGUCCGGAAUUAUUGGGCGUAAAGGGCGCGUAGGCGGCUUUGCGUGUCUUUCGUGAAAUCCCUCGGCUCAACUGAGGACGUGCGGAAGAAACUGCAGGGCUGGAGUCCGGGAGAGGAGGGUGGAAUUCCCAGUGUAGCGGUGAAAUGCGUAGAUAUUGGGAGGAACACCGGUGGCGAAGGCGGCCCUCUGGACCGGUACUGACGCUGAUGCGCGAAAGCGUGGGGAGCAAACGGG
rnacentral:rRNA from 1 species